GAUAAACGCUGGCGGCGUGUCUAAUACAUGCAAGUCGAACGAAGCUGUUUUAACUGGUGCUUGCACCGACUUAAACAACUGAGUGGCGAACGGGUGAGUAACACGUGGGUAACCUGCCCCAAAGCGGGGGAUAACAUUUGGAAACAGAUGCUAAUACCGCAUAACCACAGAAACCACAUGGUUUCUGUGUCAAAGAUGGUUUCGGCUAUCACUUUGGGAUGGACCCGCGGCGUAUUAGCUAGUUGGUAAGGUAAUGGCUUACCAAGGCAAUGAUACGUAGCCGAACUGAGAGGUUGAUCGGCCACAUUGGGACUGAGACACGGCCCAAACUCCCACGGGAGUCAGCAGUAGGGAAUCUUCCACAAUGGACGAAAGUCUGAUGGAGCAACGCCGCGUGAGUGAAGAAGGUUUUCGGAUCGUAAAACUCUGUUGUCAGAGAAGAACGUGUGCGAGAGUAACUGCUCGUGCAGUGACGGUAUCUGGCCAGAAAGCCACGGCUAACUACGUGCCAGCCGCCGCAGUAA
rnacentral:rRNA from 1 species